UACGUAGGGGGCUAGCGUUAUCCGGAAUUACUGGGCGUAUAGGGUGCGUAGGUGGUUUCUUAAGUCAGAGGUGAAAGGCUACGGCUCAACCGUAGUAAGCCUUUGAAACUGGGAAACUUGAGUGCAGGAGAGGAGAGUGGAAUUCCUAGUGUAGCGGUGAAAUGCGUAGAUAUUAGGAGGAACACCAGUUGCGAAGGCGGCUCUCUGGACUGUAACUGACACUGAGGCACGAAAGCGUGGGGAGCAAACAGG
rnacentral:rRNA from 1 species